CACGGGGGGAGCGAACGUUGUUCGGAAUCACUGGGCGUAAAGGGCGUGUAGGCGGUUCGGUAAGUGGAAUGUGAAAUCCCCCGGCUUACCCGGGGAACUGCAUCCCAUACUGCUGGACUUGAGUGCGGGAGAGGAUGGAGGAAUUCCUGGUGUAGCGGUGAAAUGCGUAGAUAUCAGGAGGAACACCAGUGGCGAAGGCGGCUCACUGGCCCGGUACUGACGCUGAGGUGCGAAAGCGUGGGGAGCAAACAGG
rnacentral:rRNA from 1 species